UCCAUCCGGGCUAAACUACAAUGACCGGCGUGCCCCGCGCUCCGCGCCCUUUCUCUUUCAGCCUCGGGGACCUGGGAGCCUCGGCGGACCUGCUGACCGGGAACCGGUAUGGCGGCCACUCUGGGCAGCGGGGAGCGCUGGACCGAAGGGGGAAUUUGACAGACGCGGGUCCCUGAGCUCACAGAACUGUCAGUCCACUGAGAGAGUUUGACCGGUUAACAGCCAAUUACAAAACACGGCCACUUACAUUGAUGCAGUUAGAAGAAACAAAUACCCAGAAGACAAAACCCCCGAGAGUCAUGACCCCUGUGGUUGCUGUAGCUGCAUGAA